GAGAAAGAAGCAUAAGGGGUUUGAGAUGCGGCUGGCUUGAAACCAGUGUAUGAGGGUUCAAUUCCUC
rnacentral:tRNA from 1 species